rnacentral:rRNA from 1 species
GCAGUCGAGCGAGCUUGCCUAGAUGAAUUUGGUGCUUGCACCAGAUGAAACUAGAUACAAGCGAGCGGCGGACGGGUGAGUAACACGUGGGUAACCUGCCCAAGAGACUGGGAUAACACCUGGAAACAGAUGCUAAUACCGGAUAACAACACUAGACGCAUGUCUAGAGUUUAAAAGAUGGUUCUGCUAUCACUCUUGGAUGGACCUGCGGUGCAUUAGCUAGUUGGUAAGGUAACGGCUUACCAAGGCAAUGAUGCAUAGCCGAGUUGAGAGACUGAUCGGCCACAUUGGGACUGAGACACGGCCCAAACUCCUACGGGAGGCAGCAGUAGGGAAUCUUCCACAAUGGACGCAAGUCUGAUGGAGCAACGCCGCGUGAGUGAAGAAGGGUUUCGGCUCGUAAAGCUCUGUUGGUAGUGAAGAAAGAUAGAGGUAGUAACUGGCCUUUAUUUGACGGUAAUUACUUAGAAAGUCACGGCUAACUACGUGCCAGCAGCCGCGGUAAUACGUAGGUGGCAAGCGUUGUCCGGAUUUAUUGGGCGUAAAGCGAGUGCAGGCGGUUCAAUAAGUCUGAUGUGAAAGCCUUCGGCUCAACCGGAGAAUUGCAUCAGAAACUGUUGAACUUGAGUGCAGAAGAGGAGAGUGGAACUCCAUGUGUAGCGGUGGAAUGCGUAGAUAUAUGGAAGAACACCAGUGGCGAAGGCGGCUCUCUGGUCUGCAACUGACGCUGAGGCUC